rnacentral:ncRNA from 2 species
CGACCCCAUGCGGGAGAGUCCUUCGCCGAUCAUGGCGAGGGCGCCGAAGGAGCAACUCCUCCCCGGAAUCUCUCAGGCUCAUGUACCGCAUGGACGAG